GAUGCUGACGAGUGGCGAACGGGUGAGUAAUACAUCGGAACGUGCCUAGUAGUGGGGGAUAACUACUCAAAGAGUGGCUAAUACCGCAGAAUCUACGGAUGAAAGCAGGGGAUCGCAAGACCUUGUGCUACUAAGCGGCCGAUGGCAGAUUAGUAGUUGGUGGGAUAAAAGCUUACCAAGCCGACAUCUGUAGCUGGUCUGAGAGGACAUCACCCCUGGGACUGAACACGGCCCAACUCCUACGGGAGGCA
rnacentral:rRNA from 1 species